AGAACGCACAUUGAUUAUCCCUGAGGCCAUGGGAUAAACAAAAACUCUACAAAACCAAGUUAGCACACCUUAGAAUGGUUCUAGCAUGAUUACUAACCUAUGGCUCUGUACUAGUUGAUGGGAAAAACCU
rnacentral:pre_miRNA from 1 species